UACAGAGGGUGCUAGCGUUGUUCGGAAUCAUUGGGCGUAAAGGGCGCGUAGGCGGCCUGUCGCGUCGGUUGUGAAAGCCCGGGGCUCAACCCCGGGUCUGCAGUCGAUACGGGCAGGCUAGAGUUCGGUAGGGGAGAUCGGAAUUCCUGGUGUAGCGGUGAAAUGCGCAGAUAUCAGGAGGAACACCGGUGGCGAAGGCGGAUCUCUGGGCCGACACUGACGCUGAGGAGCGAAAGCGUGGGGAGCGAACAGG
rnacentral:rRNA from 1 species